CAGUAGCCACGGUAAAACGAAGGGUGCAAGCGUUACUCGGAAUUACUGGGCGUAAAGCGUGUGUAGGUGGUUGUUUAAGUCUGUCGUGAAAGCCCUGGGCUCAACCUGGGAAUUGCGGUGGAUACUGGGCGACUAGAGUGCGGUAGAGGAUAGUGGAAUUUCCGGUGUAGCAGUGAAAUGCGUAGAGAUCGGAAGGAACAUCUGCGGCGAAGGCGACUAUCUGGGCCAACACUGACACUGAGGCACGAAGGCGUGGGGAGCAAACAGGAUUAGAUACCCCCGUAGUCCCUGUCUCUUAUAC
rnacentral:rRNA from 1 species